CAAACAUUCAGUGUCUCCUCCCUCUGCAUGCAGACACUGAACUUUCCUCAUAGAGAUUCAUUGAUUUAAUUCAUCUCUAUGAGAAGAUGCUGAUCAGCCAGGGCUGUGUUUGAAUCAUGCUGGUAUUGGGGGGCUAGAUGGUGGUUUUAACACUAUAGGGCAUACAUGUUUGUGUUCCUGACCCUAUAGUGAUCCUAUAAAAUAUGCAUAUGGAUCCACAUCUAUAAAUUUUAGUGUACUUUCCCUGUGGUGCGAACUCAAAAGAAUUAAAUAUCCAUAUAUCAGUAAUUAUUAACUGGUCGAUUUGAAGCUUGUUUCAGCAGUAAAGUAACUGUCACUUUCAGAUGUCUGCAUAUAUUUGCAAAGACACCUGAAGGGACAUCCCUACUUUGUAUGCGGAGGCUGGAGUAAAACUAAAGGUAGAUGUACCAAUCUAAAGUUCUCCCUUGUGGGUCCUACCGGCACUUCUUUCGCGAGGAGCCAGUGUUACUCCUGUACUCUUACACACACGUGAGAGGAGUACCGAGAUCUAUAGAGGAAACUGCGGUAUCAUCUUUUGUAGGCCAAUUCGCACAAUGAGUGAGAAGAUCCUCAUCUUCUUCACAAAGUGGAAAUACCACCUUUUGUCAAACCAGGACUUUGCCCAUAAAACAAGGAAAUUCCUACUUUACAUUCUGAUACCUUUUCAUUGCUUCGGAAUGUCAACACAAUUCCACAGCAGUCAACGUGAGUAUUUUAUUAAGAUUUUCAGAUCUAUAAAAUACUCAAACAGUAUAGGUACUCAAAAGUGACCGUGCCGCUUUAACUUUGCAUGUUUAAAGAAUUGAUCUCAAAAUACCACUGUAAUAUGUCUGUGAAUCUGACAACUUGAUGUAGUUAGUUGAUCUCAAGUAAAUCACUUUGUAACACAUUAUAUUACAGAGAUAUUUACACUCUGAGAGUCCUGUUUGUUAGAGCAGACUGUUAGGGCAAACAUAUUUUCACCCUGCUAAAUAGGCAGAGGACAAUCCUGCAAAGUACACUACGUAACCCUAACAUAGUCAGCAUUUAAAGCUCACUUUUGACAAUACAUUGACAUAAGAAGACAAACAUGUUUUCCUAACACUAUAGUGUUCCCCUACCUAUGUAGGUUCCCACCCCCCCAUGCAGUGGUUUAAAAGGUAAAAUGUACUUAUCUUACAACCCUUGGGGCUGCUGCUCCACCGCUUUGGCUGAGAUCAUCAAGACUGAUGAGCUCAACCAAUCCAAUGCUUCUCCACAGGGAAGCAUUAAGAGACUUGUGCGCAUUGGCAUCAGUAGUAUAACCAACAGUUAUGAGAAGAAUGUUAACGUAACAUUUAGUAUAACCGCAUAACUAAUUCCCUUUAAACUGGCCGUGAUAAGCUACACCGUGGUAACAUGCAUCCGGUAGGAAAUAUAAAUUUCCAGCAACAAUUUGUUGCUUUUUGCAAUUAAAAAAAUAAAAUGUUGAAAUUUUUUUGACAAAUUUGACAAUAUUGUGAAGCUGAAUAAACAAAAUUUGCAAUUCUUGCGUCCA